CAGUCGCCACGGGAAUACGUAGGGUGCAAGCGUUAAUCGGAAUUACUGGGCGUAAAGCGUGCGCAGGCGGUUAUAUAAGACAGAUGUGAAAUCCCCGGGCUCAACCUGGGUACUGCAUUUGUGACUGUAUAGCUAGAGUACGGCAGAGGGGGAUGGAAUUCCGCGUGUAGCAGUGAAAUGCGUAGAUAUGCGGAGGAACACCGAUGGCGAAGGCAAUCCCCUGGGCCUGUACUGACGCUCAUGCACGAAAGCGUGGGGAGCAAACAGGAUUAGAUACCCCCGUAGUCCCUGUCUCUUAUAC
rnacentral:rRNA from 1 species